GAUGAACGCUGGCGGCGUGCCUAAUACAUGCAAGUCGAGCGAAGCGGGGACGGUCGAGUAACACGUGGAUAAACUCCUAUAAUACUGGGAUAACUUCGGGUAACCCGAGCUAAACCGGCUACUUAUAGAUGGUUCCGCGCUGCAUUCGCUAGUUUGUACGGUAACGGCUGACCAAGGCCACGAUGCAUAGCCGACCUAAGAGGAGUAACGGCCACACGGGGACUGAGACACGGGCCAGACUCCUACGGGAGGCAGCAGUAGGGAAUCUUCCGCAAUGGGCGAAAGCCUGACGGGGCAACGCCGCGUGAGUGAUCAAGGUUUUCGGAUCGUAAAACUCUGUUAUUAGGGAAGCGGUACCUAAUCAGAAAGCCACGGCUAACUACGUGCCAGCAGCCGCGGUAAUAC
rnacentral:rRNA from 1 species